CCGAAUCUAAUUCGAACCCUAAGGCCAACCCUAACCCUAGAGCUCGAGAAGCGAAUUCAUGGCAGAGGGGAGGAAGCGGUGCCUCUACGAGGUUCUGGGCGUCCAUCGCGACUGCUCCCAGGAUGAGAUUCGCGCCGCCUACAAGCGCCUCGCCCUCCAGCUCCACCCCGACAAGCUCGCCUCCUCCGCCUCCGCCACCUCCGCCGCCGACGCCACCGCCGCCUUCCAAGAGCUCCGCCAUGCCUACGAGGUCCUCUCGGACCCCAAGGAGCGCGCCUGGUACGACUCCCACCGCUCCCAGAUCCUCUUCUCCUCCCCCUCCUCCGCCUCCAAGUCCCACCGCCCCUCUGCCUUCUUCGAUCUCGACCUCUACGCCUUCUUCUCCAACUCCGCCUUCUCCGGCUACUCCGAUGCCGGCAAGGGCUUCUACAGGGUCUAUGGCGAUCUUUUCGACAAGGUCUACGCCCAGGAGCUAUGGUUCGCCAAGGAAUUGGACCUGGGCGCCGACGCCGUCGCCCCCGCCCCUUUGAUCGGCAAUCUCGACAGCUCCUACUCCCAAGUCACCGCCUUUUACAAUUAUUGGCUUGGGUUUUGCACCGUGAUGGACUUCGGUUGGGUAGACGAGUACGACGCAUCGAUGGGGCCGAACCGGAGGACGAGACGGGCGAUGGAGGAGGAGAACAAGAAGGUGAGGAAGAAGGCGAAGAGGGAGUACAUCGACACGGUCCGCGGGUUGGCGGCGUUCGUGAAGAAGAGGGACAAGAGGGUGAUCGAUAUGACGGCGAAGAGGAACUUGGAGGAGGAGAAGAGGCGGGCGGAGGAGAAGGCGAGGAAGAAGGAGGAGGAAAGGAAGAAGAUGGAGAGAGCGAGGAUGUAUGAAGAACCUGAGUGGGCGAAGAUCGAUGAAGAAGAAGAAAAGACUGCUAUGAGAGGUGGGUUUGAUGACUUAGAGGAGGAGGAUGAUAAAAAGAAGAAAAAGAAAGAGGGUGCCGGUGAGGAACUCUACUGUGUGGUGUGUAAUAAGAAGUUUAAGUCGGAUAAGCAGUGGAAGAAUCACGAGCAAUCGAAGAAGCACAGGGAUAAGGUUGCGGAGCUGAGGAUGACAUUCAAGGAGGAAGACAAGGUCUUGGAGGAGGAGGAGGAGGAGGCGGCGGAUGAAGAGGGAGUCCAUGUAGGAUUUGAUUAUGAACCACCAGAGUCAGAGGAGAGUGAUAUGGUGGAUGAACUAUGUGAAGAAUUGAGGGAGGAGAUCAGAUUUCAGGAGGAUGGGAGUGAUGAUGAGGAUUUGGAGUACAGUGAUCGAAAAGUGGGUUCAGAUGAUGAGGCUAGCAUUUUGGAAGCCAUGGUUUCAGGGCAUAAGAAUAGGAAGAAUGAUUCUCAGGAUCUACAUGAUUCAACGUCCAAUUAUGAUCAUUAUCUUGAUAAUGAUGAGCAAAAUUCGAUAGGAUAUGAUUCCAAAAGAAGUCGCAAGAAUCGAGCACCAAAGAAACGGACAGGGGCAGACAUGUAUGAUGAAGCAAAGAGGCCAGAGAUGGGUGAGUCCCAGCAGGAGGACAGUGAAGUUCAGAAUCAGGAAGACAAUAUUGAGGAUAAUAAGGAGGUUAUUUCUAGUCCUUUAGAGGAGGUCGCAACCAGAAGUAAGGGAGGUCGAGCUACAGUAAAGAAUCAGAAGUCUAAAAAGCAAUCAGUGGAUGGAAAGGGAGCUGGAAGAAAAGACACAACUGCUGACUCAAAGAACCCAUCAAAAGGAAGGAAACAGAAGACUGAUUCAUGAAAGUAGUUAAGGUUUUGAGUGAACUCUAAAAGGAUACUGUUGGUAGUAAAUGGGGUCAAGGAAGGUUCAAGGUUGAAGUGGGAAGAAAUCAAUGGAUCAAGGUGGUCAGAUGGCAGAAUGCGUAUGUUCGCUGGUGCAAGAAUCGACAGCAAAAGGUCUGCUGAAAUUAGUGAUGCUAGGUUCUAGAAGUUCUGGACCUCUUGCCAAUAGAUUUAGGGUGGAGUUUGUUGGUAAAGGGGUUUGGAUGUAUCUAGAAUUAAAAGAUUCAUAAUCUGAGGAUCCUUGAAGUUUUUCCUGAAUAACUUGUGGAGAUUAAAAUGCACAAUCAACUCCACCCACGUGUCUUCCCCUUUUAUGCAUGAGCAGUCUACAAGUGCCUUAUGGCAACCUCAAAGGCUCUAAGUAAUGCAUGUGACACAUGUGGAGAGAGCUUUGAAUCAAGGAACAAGUUAUUUGUACAUUUAGGUGCCACAGGCCAUGCUAUGUUGAAAUCACGGUAAAGGAAUGCAGAUUGCUGAUGAAAGAAACUUAUUCUUUUGUGUAUCAUAUGUGGUGUUGUUUUCUGGAAAGGCCAAUCAAGCAGACAUCACUUUCCAGACUCGAGGUAUAUGAAUAGUCUACUGGGAUCAGAGCUCCUCUUCUUACUUAAGAGCCCAGUUGUAAAUUGCUGCACCAACAGCAAAGAGGAAAAAGAAAACAGAAAAUUAAAUUUUGAGACCGGAUAAAGUUCUUGAUUUGACCUUUUAAAAUUGUGAUUCUUGCACGAGGAAUUUGAAUUCCAUCAGCACAAUCUUAAUUAUAUAGAAACAUUCAUUUGAUUUUUUUUUUUUUUAUUUUUUUAAGAAAAAGCUACAUGUAAGGCUUUGUUUUUUUGGCAGCAAUACAUGUUAAUUCUCUCUAA